UUCAGUAUUUUGACUCAGAA
rnacentral:miRNA from 1 species